rnacentral:rRNA from 1 species
GCAAGUCGAACGGUAACGGGUUAUGCCGACGAGUGGCGAACGGGUGAGCCAUAUAUCCCAACCUGCCCAGUCGUGGGGGAUAACGUAAAGAAAUUUACGCUAAUACCGCAUACCAUCUAAGGAUGAAAGCGGGGGAUCGCAAGACCUCGCGCGAUUGGAGCGGUUGAUAUCAGAUUAGGUUGUUGGAGAGGUAAAAGCUCCCCAAGCCGACCAUCUGUAGCUGGUUUGAGAGAACGACCAGCCACACUGGCACUGAUACACGGCCCAGACUCCUACGGGAGGCAACAGUGGGGAAUUUUGGACAAUGGGCGAAAGCCUGAUCCAGCAAUGCCGCGUGCAGGAAGAAGGCCUUCGGGUUGUAAACUGCUUUUGUACGGAACGAAAAAGUCUGCCCUAAUACGGUGGGCUCAUGACGGGACCGUACGAAUAAGAACCGGCUAACUACGUGCCAGCAGCCGCGGUAAUACGUAAGGUGCGAGCGUUAAUCUGAAUUACUGGGCGGAAAGCGUGCGCAGGCGGUUAUAUAAGACAAUUGUGAAAUCCCCGGGCUCAACCUGGGAAUUGCAUCUGUGACUGUAUAGCUAGAGUACGGUAGAGGGGGAUGGAAUUCCGCGUGUAGCGGUGAAAUGCGUAGAUAUGCUGAGGAACACCGAUGGCGAAGGCAAUCCCCUGCACCUGUACUGACGCUCAUGCGCGAAAGCGAGGCGAGCAAACAGGAUUAGAUACCCUGCUCGGCCACGCCCUAAACGAUGUCAACUG